UGAACAACAGUCUGAAAGGGACUUUCUGCCAUGUUUUACAGGCAGUCGUGCUUCUGAAGACUAGUUUUUGUUCGCUUUGUUGUGAAUAUUUACAUAAAACCAUCCAAGUGUCUGUAUCCAGCACCGUCUGUGCAAAACUCCUUCGAUGUCAGAGGUUCAAACAUGAAAAACAAACAGUUUUCUCUGUCAUUGUUGUUUUUUCUUUUAACUCCACAGUCAGUGAGUUCUGCAGCUGAAUGACAGCAUGGCAGCAGCAUUUGGACCACAAGACACUUUUCCCAGACGUCGCAGGAAGAGCUUUGAUUUUGUGCCACCCAGCAUGUCUGAGCUCAGAGCUGUCCUGCUGGGGAACAGCUGGUCUGAGAGGAGCUCAGUGGGAAACUUUAUACUGAGAGAGAACAAGUUCAACCCUGAGGAAGAACUGGACCGAUGUGUGAGAGUCAGUGGAUACA